rnacentral:rRNA from 1 species
GAUGAACGCUGGCGGCGUGCCUAAUACAUGCAAGUCGAGCGAACAGACGAGGAGCUUGCUCCUCUGACGUUAGCGGCGGACGGGUGAGUAACACGUGUAUAACCUACCUAUAAGACUGGGAUAACUUCGGGAAACCGGAGCUAAUACCGGAGAAUAUAUUGAACCGCAUGGUUCAAUAGUGAAAGGCGGUUUUGCUGUCACUUAUAGAUGGAUCCGCGCCGCAUGAGCUAGUUGGUAAGGUAACGGCUUACCAAGGCAACGAUGCGUAGCCGACCUGAGAGGGUGAUCGGCGACAUUGGAACUUAGCCACGGUCCAGACUACUACGGGAGGCAGCAGUAGGGAAUCUGCCGCAAUGGUCGAAAGCCUGACGGAGCAACGCCGAGUGAGUGAUGAAGGUCUUCGGAUCGUAAAACUCUGUUAUGAGGGAAGAACAAAUGUGUAAGUAACUAUGCACGUCUUGACGGUACCUAAUAAGAAAGCAACGGCUAACUACGUG